ACAACGGUAGCUCAGUUGGUACCGGUAUCGGUAAUACAGAUGCCGAAAUUAGCAGGUUCAAAUCCUGCCUGUUGUG